rnacentral:misc_RNA from 1 species
CAGAGUUGCAAAACUCCAACCAUUGUGAACGAACCGCUAAGCUGCAGCGGGUGGUGCUCUGUACCACCCGCUGGCAGCCUGCAAACUCUUGAUUACAGUGUAUCUCUGAGUGUCUUAUUUAAUAAGUCA